UACGGGGGGAGCAAGCGUUGUUCGGAUUUACUGGGCGUAAAGGGCGCGUAGGCGGCCACCGCAAGUCGGUUGUGAAAUCUCUGGGCUUAACCCAGAAAGGUCAACCGAUACUGCGGGGCUAGAGUGCAGAAGGGGCAACUGGAAUUCUCGGUGUAGCGGUGAAAUGCGUAGAUAUCAAGAGGAACACCUGAGAUGAAGACGGGUUGCUGGGCCAACACUGACGCUGAGGCGCGAAAGCCAGGGGAGCAAACGGG
rnacentral:rRNA from 1 species